rnacentral:lncRNA from 1 species
UGGAAAAACGGCUCCUGUGCAGGCUGCCUCCCAGCUCUGUCCUCCCACACUUCGUCCUCCCACAGCCAAGGGAGUUGACCCGUGUUCUCACUGGGCCGCUGGAACCCAACAGCAUGGACAUCCCGGUUGGUGGGCACCCAGCUCUCCCCUCCGGAGGUACUGUCACACCCUCUCCCGCCUCACCGGGGGCACAGGGCCCUGCCAGACCCAGGUGAUGUCAGGAAAUGCUGUCCUCAGUCUGGAGGACCACCGAGCCACUUUCCUCCUCGGAGCCCUUCCCUCCAGCCCAGGUGGUCACACAGCUUUCACCCCGUGUCAGGUUUGCUCUUUUCUGCUUCCUGCCUUCAUUUCCUGAAUGACAUCCUUUUGAGCAUGUAUGAUGACAAGCAGGGCUGGACCCUGGGUCUGCAGCAGUGAACCGGCCCAGUCACCUGCCCUCAGGGGUCUUGCAGGAGGGCCUCCGCAUCCUCUCCCGCACUGCAGACCAGCAAGCCCCUCCCCUGCUGUGGCCUUUCCAGUAACGGCUGCUGGGAGAGAAAGUGCCAGUCGGAGAGUGAGUGUGCAGCCAGAGUCAAAAAUCAAAAAGAAAAAUCAAAAGAACAUCGGCAUUGGAGGCACAUGCAAUAAAGGAGUCCAGGUGGUAGUUGGAGGUUGGAGGCUGGAAGGAACACACAGGUCUCAAAGGAAGUGGCUGAGGGAUCUGCAGAGACUCAUCUGAGCCUGUGGCUGAUGACAGGGUGUUGGGGCAGCCACGGCCGAGAGGGCCGUGCUCGGAGCCACACAGCUUUCAGUGCUCACGAGAAGGGACUGGCCCUCCCCAGGGCUGACCAAGUUCCUCAGUACUGCAUCCAGCUGUGCUCCUGGCCUCAUUUCUUCUCUCCUUCAUGAAUUAACUCCCAGACACAGCAGCCCCUGGAGGUGGUGGGGACUAACCAGGGACGGGAAAGGGUCAGUCAGCCUGUGGUCAGCAGGGUGGGCGGGUGCAGGCCUGGUGUUCCCAGGAUACUUUGCUGGGUCAUGCAGUUAUCCCCAUCACGUAUCACUCCAGCUCCCUGGCGGGCACAGCCUGUGGCUGUUCCUGGAGGCACCCCUGGAAUGAGUACAGUUCAUGGACAGGCUUCAAAACAGCCCAGAGCAAAGAUUUGGGUCUGAGGGCGGGGGCAUGGCUCUGCGGUCUUCGCCUCCACGGUUCCCUGACUUGGUCCUGCAGUUGCCCAGGAGAGGCAAGGCCACCUCCUUGUUAAGGGCUUGCUUGUUCCUGGUGGUCUCUGUCAGGAGCCCCCACCCCGCUGGCCCCAGACUCCAACACCUGUCCAGGUGUGUGAGCCAGUGUACAUCUGGCAGCAGAGAGGCCUGUACGAGCACAGCCCACAGGCCCCAGUGACGUUUGUCAAGUGUUUAUUCUAUCAACAUUCUUCAUUUCUGGCCUGAUUUCAAUCCUAGGAGGUGGGUACAAUAAGUCCAAUUCUAAAAAUAAUAAAAUGGAACAGAGACCUGAGGAGUUGGCUUCAUGAUGGGGGAUCAAUGUCCCAAUUUUAGCACCAAAGUCCUGCGACCUGGGAAGCCCUCGGUGCUGGGCAAACCAGGAUGGUUGUUGCCCUGAUUCAGGAUCACCCAGGUAAUAGGUAGAGGGCUGAAUUCAAGCCCGGCUCAGCCGCAUGGAGCCUCGGCCUGCACUCUGCACUGCUUCUGAGCGGUGCUGGGAGCAGCGCUGUCCAAGGAGCCCGGGUCAUAAAACCCAGCUGGUGAAUAGGAACCAUGUUUGUAUGUUCUAGAAGAUGAAAGAAUAGAAUUGAAUUGAAUAAUAAAGAUCAGAGUACAUUAUGCACAAUUAGGACACAUAUAUUUUAAUGAAGAAAGUAAUUUAAAUAAAAAUGUGUUUUAUUUAUGCUUAUAUAUUUUUGCUUGUGUAUAUAUGUGUGUAUAUAAUGUUUUAGAUAUACAAAUAUAUGUGUUAUAAGUAUGUUUGGUAUUUUAUUUCAUAUUUUAUAUUUAUGUUUUAUGUUGUAAAUAUGUUUAUCGGUUAUAAAUCUAUGUGAAUA